rnacentral:rRNA from 1 species
UACGUAGGGUGCAAGCGUUAAUCGGAAUUACUGGGCGUAAAGCGCACGUAGGCGGCUUUGUAAGUUAGAGGUGAAAGCCUGGAGCUCAACUCCAGAAUUGCCUUUAAGACUGCAUCGCUUGAAUCCAGGAGAGGUGAGUGGAAUUCCGAGUGUAGAGGUGAAAUUCGUAGAUAUUCGGAAGAACACCAGUGGCGAAGGCGGCUCACUGGACUGGUAUUGACGCUGAGGUGC